rnacentral:rRNA from 1 species
UACGUAGGGUGCGAGCGUUAAUCGGAAUUACUGGGCGUAAAGCGUGCGCAGGCGGUACGUUAAGACAGGUGUGAAAUCCCCGGGCUUAACCUGGGAAUUGCGCUUGUGACUGGCGUGCUCGAGUGCGGCAGAGGGGGGUGGAAUUCCAGGUGUAGCAGUGAAAUGCGUAGAUAUCUGGAGGAACACCGAUGGCGAAGGCAGCCCCCUGGGCCGACACUGACGCUCAGGCACGAAAGCGUGGGGAGCAAACAGG